rnacentral:lncRNA from 1 species
UGCUUAAUUUUUGCUUUUGGAGGCUUUGAAUGUACCAAAGCUUUAUAUUAUUAUAUUGUCAAAGCUAUUAGCUUUUCUUUUUGUGACAUUGUUUGUUAGAAAGUCCUUCCUGGGAAAUGGCUUUUUAAAUGGGUCAAGAGCUUGCCUUUUCCUCCUUUGGGGCUCUCUAUUUUUGGUAAAUUCUAAACAAACAUCCUUUUCCCAAAUACCAUUUUCCCGGGAACAUCUGGAAUGCGCUUGCUUUUAUUUCUUCCUCCCCAGAGGACGGUGUAUUGGGGUGGGAAGAGGCUGUCACACUGAGAUGAUCUCUGGGUGGAGAAACUGGACGGGGAAGCCCUGAGCUUCAGAAACAGCCCCUUCCCCAGCUUCAAGGUGGCUGUGCUCUGUUGUGAAAGAUGUCUGAUCUUUCCCGCCAAAAAAAUAAAAACAUUGUCCAAAA